ACCCGCUGAACUUAAGCAUAUCAGUAAGCGGAGGAAAAGAAACUAACUAGGAUUCCCCGAGUAGCGGCGAGCGAAAGGGGAGAAGCCCAGCGCCGAAGCGCGCGGCCUCUGGUCGCAGCGCAAUGUGGCGUUUCGGCGGCGACUCGCCGCGGCCGUCCUGGCACGUGUACCUCUGAAUGGGUCUGCCCGCAGCGGGUGUCAGGCCUCUAGGUGCCGAGCGGGCGGUCGUGACAUGUCGUCGUCGCGGAGUCGGGUUGCUUGAGAGUGCAGCCCAAAGUGGGUGGUAAGCUCCAUCUAAGGCUAAAUACCUAGUGCGAGACCGAUAGCAAACAAGUACCGUGAGGGAAAGUUGCAAAGAACUUUGAAAAGAGAGUUCAAGAGUACGUGAAACCGUUCAGAGGCAAACGGACGGAACUGGGCGAGUUCGCCGUCGUCAUUCAGCCGGCGCGCCCUCGGGCGCGACGGUGCACUUGGCGGCGGCGGAGCGCGACGACCGCCUGUCAGGUCGUCAGAAGCCCGGCGGCAAGGUGGCGACGCGCUCGCGCGUCGUGUUACAGGCCGCCGCGGCGUUGGCAGACUUGGCGGGCGAGGAGCGCCUGCGGUGCCCUCCCCUCGCGGGAGCGGCCCGUGCGUGUGGGCUUCGGGACGUCGGCGGCGAACUGCUCGCAGUUUGUCGUUUGCGCGCGCCUGUUGUCUCGCCGCUCGGUGCCGCGGGCACCCAGGGUCCGGGUCGUGUGGUUCCUGGCACUCCGUCCGACCCGUCUUGAAACACGGACCAAGGAGUUGAGCACGUGCGCAAGUCGAUGGGCAUCAUGAACCCCAGUGGCGCAGCUAAGGCAAAACGGGCGUGAUCCGGCACUGGCGUGUCGGCGCAACGCCGGCCCGCAGCCGACUCGAUGCGAGUGGCUGCGGCGCAAGAGCGUGCGUGCUCAGACCCGAAAGGUGGUGAACUAUGCUUGAGCAGGGCGAAGCCAGAGGAAACUCUGGUGGAGGCUCGCAGCGAUCCUGACGUGCAAAUCGGUCGUCAAACUUGAGCAUAGGGGCGAAAGACUAAUCGAACCGCCUAGUAGCUGGUUCCCUCCGAAGUUUCCCUCAGGAUAGCUGGCACUCGGGAUAAAUGGUUUUAUCCGGUAAAGCGAAUGAUUAGAGGCAUUGGGGACGAAACGUCCUCAACCUAUUCUCAAACUUUAAAUGGGUAAGAGGCGCGACCCUUCCUGAUCGGGGUCGCGUGCUCGAACAGAGAGUGCCCAGUGGGCCGUUUUUGGUAAGCAGAACUGGCGCUGUGGGAUGAACCAAACGUGCGGUUAGGGUGCCUAACGCACGCUCAUGAGAUACCACAAAAGGUGUUGGUUGAUAUAGACAGCAGGACGGUGGCCAUGGAAGUCGGAAUCCGCUAAGGAGUGUGUAACAACUCACCUGCCGAAUCAACUAGCCCUGAAAAUGGAUGGCGCUGGAGCGUGCGACCCAUACCGCACCGUCGGGGCAAUGCGUGCGUAAUGCCAGGCCCCGAUGAGUAGGAGGGCGCGUUGGUGGCGUUGAAGCGUAGUGCGUGGGCACGCGUGGAGCCGCCUUCGGUGCAGAUCUUGGUGGUAGUAGCAAGUAUACAAAUGAGAACUUUGUAGACCGAAGUGGAGAAGGGUUCCAUGUGAACAGCAGUUGGACAUGGGUCAGUCGGCCCUAAGAGAUCGGAGAACUCCGUUCUGAACGGGGAGACAGUAGCGGGGCGGCUGGGCAAGGGUCGCCGGUGAACAGUUGAGGGCGUGCUUGUGCGUGCGCACAUAUUAUUGACAUAACAUGUGCCGGAGUUUGAGCCCGGCGGAAGGGGGCGAGAAGCGAGAGCUGCAAACCACACAGAGCGGAGUCGCGCCGUGCUCGCGACCGGACUGUGGGCGUGCGUGCGCCGUCAAACAUGGGUGUACAUGGAAUUGACGGAAGCGCGGCGCUGCGCGUCCGGCCGGCCGCGGGCUGCCACGACCAAGCGCUGUCGUCCCUGUCGUAGCGGGGACGCGGCGCGGCGUCGGCGGCGGCGCGACAGCAUAGCCGCCACCAGCAGCAUACGCUCUCAACUUGAACGUGCCCCCCCGCACGGUCGCAACCCAAAGUACAACCCACAAGCCUGGCACGCGUGCCACGGCGCGCCCAAAAUGCUGGGCGGCCCAUGUUGUCUGUGUCACCCCGCUAGAGUGAGCUGAUCCCCGAUGCGAUCGAAAGGGAAUCGGGUUAAUAUUCCCGAACCUGGCAGUGGAGAUUGGGCCCUCGGGCCCCAGUGCGGUAACGCAACCGAACUCGGAGACGCCAGCGUCGAUCCCGGGAAGAGUUCUCUUUUCUUUGUUAGGAGCGGACUCCCUGGAAUUGGCUUGUCCAGAGAUAGGGACGUUGCAUCCGUAAAGCGUCGCGCCUCACGCGGCGUCCGGUGCAUCGGUGCUGGCCCUUGAAAAUCCGAGGAAGGCAGUGUAAUUUUCACUCCAGGCCGUACCCGAAUCCGCAGCAGGUCUCCAAG
rnacentral:rRNA from 1 species